rnacentral:rRNA from 1 species
UACAGAGGUCUCAAGCGUUGUUCGGAUUCAUUGGGCGUAAAGGGUGCGUAGGUGGCGCCGUAAGUCAGGUGUGAAAUUUCGGAGCUUAACUCCGAAAACUGCAUUUUGAUACUGCGGUGCUUGAGGACUGGAGAGGAGACUGGAAUUCACGGUGUAGCAGUGAAAAUGCGUAGAUAUCGUGAGGAAGACCAGUGGCGAAGGCGGGUCUCUUGGACAGUUCCUGACACUGAGGCACGAAGGCCCAGGGGGAGCAAAACGGGG